GAUCAUUAUCGUAACAACGGAGGUGCGAGGGCUGUCGCUGACCUUUCNNGGUCGUGCACGCCCAAGCGCUUUCACACAAUCCAUCUCACCCCCUUUGUGCAUCACCGCGUGGGUCCCCUUUGCGGGAGGGCUUGCGUUUUCACAUAAAAACAUUUUGAUAGUGUAGAAUGUCCUUUUGCGGUCACACGCAAUCAAUACAACUUUCAACAACGGAUCUCUUGGCUCUCGCAUCGAUGAAGAACGCAGCGAAAUGCGAUACGUAAUGUGAAUUGCAGAAUUCAGUGAAUCAUCGAAUCUUUGAACGCACCUUGCGCCCCUUGGCAUUCCGAGGGGCACACCCGUUUGAGUGUCGUGAAAUCUUCAAAAAANCCCUUUUCNCNUNANGAAANGNANUUUUUUU
rnacentral:misc_RNA from 1 species